ensembl:snRNA U2 U2 spliceosomal RNA
AUAGCUUCUCAGCCUUUUGGCUAAGAUCAAGUGUAGCAUCUGUUCUUAUCAUUUUAAUAUCUGAUACAUCCUCUAUCCGAGGACAAUAUAUUAAAUGGAUUUUUGGAGCAGGCUCCGGGAGUUGAUGAUGGACAGGGAAGCCUGGAGUCCUGCAGUCCAUGGGGUUGCAAAGAGUCGGACAUGACUGAGCAACUGAAC